rnacentral:lncRNA from 1 species
CCAGGCUGCUGACCUCUGGCUGGGCUUGGGUUCUUCCUUGCCCUCCCUUACAUUUGCAAGUUACAAACAAAGCAAGUGUGACUGAGAUCGGAAGCUGACUCCUAUACAAAGCUGCACAUGUAGGACCAAAGCCGUCUGUCAUGGGAAAGUUACAACUGCAGGGAGAGACUCAGCCUUGGAAUUUCCUGCUCAUCUGUCUCCUAAGCUAAUGUUAUAAUUUGAUGUCCUUAUUUGGCUUUAAAGGAAAAGUCAGAGCUGUGUUCUCUAAGAACAAGUCCACAAACAAACACUGGGACCCUGCGUGCAGCUUCCUAUGGCUGUGAUGGAGUGGGACCUCAGGACAGCACGCAGCUCUCACACGGCCGGCACAGUGCUCACAGGGUCCUACGAGCUCUGUGGUGCAUGGCUGAACACUCCUAAGGAUUGCGCUGUAUAUGUGCAAAGUGUUUUUUGGAUUCCUGAUAGCUGUAUCAGAGCUACGAGGCAUAUUUUCCAUUUUCUCAGGAGCUCAGAAAUAGGCAUAUGAAAAAUUAUAUAUAUAUAUAUAAUGUUCGGCUGGAUGGAUCCUCUAUGUAUAGCACUCGCGGAUAUUGCAUUUCAACCCAAGAAAAUUCCUGCACUCCACUCCACAUCAACUCAACAUGGUCGAACGUCUUGCUCGAGGUUGGAAAAAGAGUUUAUGGCUUUAUAGUGAGCUGUUUCCUCUUAAAGUGUGCCCUGGCCGGAGCAUCCUCACUGUUAGAUGUGGUGGGAAAGAUGGCAGUCGGGCUCUGGGGAAACUGCAGUUUAUCCGCAUGAAUCUAAAGACCUCUCGUUCUAGUUUUGAUGAUGAGAUUUUAGAGUCAACUACUCAGAGAGGAAACCAAGGCUCUGAGAACUGUUCACCUUUCCUUUCAGAAGGUGAAGGGGGCCAGGGCUUGGCUACGGAGUAGGAGAGUGGGUUGGUGGCUUUGGGAUUUGCCAUUGUGUUAUGACAUGACCUCCAGGGCUCUUAGUGCCCUAAGGCCAUUUUCAAGGUAGCAUUCUGGAAGAUUCCAUUACCUUCCUGCCUCAGGACAUCCCAGGAUGGGGAUGAGCUUGGCUGCUGAGGCAGACAUGGCCAUUGUGAUGUCCAGUUUUGCAGGUGCUUCUGGCUCUGGGGGGUUUGUGCAUAGUCACAAAUUUACUCGGGACUUAGUGAAAAAUCAAAAUCCCAGAUUUGCAACGUGUAAGUGGAGACCACUCUGCCCCAGGGACAUGUCUCACCUCCUCCCAGUUAGGACUGAGCUGGAGCCAAAACAUUUGGGUAUCUUUCACGGGGAUUUCUGCUAACCCUGAUAGCCUUAUGCUCAUCCUUCUCACCAGGGACAUCUUAGACACAGAGGUGGGAAAGUGAUCUCGAAGUGACAGCACCUUUAGUUGGGGUUGCAGAUACUGACACUUUUCUUCCUAUGAAUCAGUCUUUUAUUUUUUACUUCAAAUAUUGAGUCAUAAAAGUUUCCUCCCAUGAAAACAUGGCCCCGGCAGUAGCACAUGCACAGUGGAG